rnacentral:rRNA from 1 species
UCCGGCGACGAUACCGGCGGGGCCCCACCCGUUCCCAUUCCGAACACGGCCGUUAAGCCCGCCGGGCCUAUGAUAGUGCCGCAAGCGUGAAAGUCGGUCAUCGCCGGAA